rnacentral:piRNA from 1 species
UACACUCCAAGCUUUAACAGUAUCUCAGUCA